GAGUUUGAUUCUGGCUCAGGAUGAACGCUGGCGGCGUGCCUAAUACAUGCAAGUCGAGCGAGAAGCUUGGAAAUGACGCUUCGGUUGAUUUUCCAAGCGGACAGCGGCGGACGGGUGAGUAACGCGUAGGCAACCUGCCCCUGACAGAGGGAUAGCCAUUGGAAACGAUGAUUAAAACCUCAUGACACCGUAGUAGCACAUGCUACAUCGGUCAAAGAUUUAUCGGUCAGGGAUGGGCCUGCGUCUGAUUAACUGGUUGGUGAGGUAACGGCUCACCAAGGUGACGAUCAGUAGCCGACCUGAGAGGGUGAUCGGCCACAUUGGAACUGAGACACGGUCCAAACUUCUACGGAAGGCAGCAGUAGGGAAUCUUGCACAAUGGGCGAAAGCCUGAUGCAGCAACACCGCGUGAAGGAUGAAGGCCUUCGGGUUGUAAACUUCUGUUCUAAGGGAAGAAAGAAAUG
rnacentral:rRNA from 1 species